UCUUCUAUUCUACUCUCUCUCUCCCUCUCGACGAAGCCAACAGCCUCCAUGUAAUACCCCGAAAAAUCUAAAUUAUUUUCCGAGGACAUUUUAGAAUGAUUUCGUAGUCAUGGAAGGAAGUAUGAAGCUUUGAGGAGUUGUGGAUUUAGCUCGAACAAUUUUAUUUCGAAAUCGUACGUAUUUAGGGGCGUCUCAAAAAGUGACUUUUUAUACGUACCGAAUUUGGGAAAAUUUACUUCAUGAAAGUUGUAGAGCUCAUCGAUACGAUCGCGUGCAUAUGCGGAACACAAAAAUCGGAGCUCGUAUGAAUUAGUUAUGAUUUUUCGAAAUAAUUUCCAGUUUAGUCCAAAAAGAAUUGGCCGGCCUUCCAUUUCGGGAAGCCCCCCCCCCCCAUUCUCUCUCUUCCUCCCGCGUCCGUACCGGUCGAAAACAGGGACAAAAUUCAUCCGGCCAUUUCUUCCUCCUCCGGCCACCAAAUCACUCCAAACUUCUUCCAUCGUGUUCGCCUCUUUCUUUCGCAGCCAUCUGUGGCAACCUUGCACGGCGGCGAGGGCUGUAGCGGCGGUGGUGAGCUCGUUCCGAUUUGAGUUCGAUUUUAGUCACCGCCGGUUUUCUCCUUAGCUCCGGCGGUAGUGAACUCGCCUCAACCUGCUGAUCAUCAUAGAAGGAUUUCACCUGGAGUGACCGGUUUCACGUUUGUCGGAGCUCGGUCGGUUUUCGAUCCGAAACCAAAAUCUUUCGAUCGGGAUAUCUCGAGUUUUAGUGCAUCGUUUUGAUUUAUUCUUGAUCCAGUGGGUUCUCCUUGAUGUUAUUAACAACUCUCUAGAAGGAAUCGAGGCCUGAAAUUGAAUUUUUUACGUCGAAAAUCGAGCUCGCCGGUUUCUGCAUUUCUUCGCCGGUUUCUGGAACUUUUCCGGCCACCUUCAUACUGUUCAAGGUGAUUGACGGUCUUCCUUGGUGAGUGGUUUUGGUGUGUUUUGUGAAAUUGAAGACGCAGCAGGAUUAGAGUACACUAUUCAACUUGUGUAGCGGGUAAUCCUGCAGGUUAGGAGAAUCAGGGCGUGAUCGUGCGGGUUAGAGUAAUUGUUAUAGUUUUACAGUGAUUGUAAUAGUAAGGUGAGUUAAGCUCAAUUGAGCCUUACAAUUUGAUUUGAUGAGAGUGUGCUGUAAUAAUUAACUGGAGAAAUUGGUUUAUUGUAUUAUUGAGAGGUGUGAAGUGUGGUUGUUUUGAGAAAAAAAUUUAGGAUGUUUAUUUGUAA